GGUUAAGCGACUAAGCGUACACGGUGGAUGCCCUGGCAGUCAGAGGCGAUGAAGGACGUGCUAAUCUGCGAAAAGCGUCGGUAAGGUGAUAUGAACCGUUAUAACCGGCGAUGUCCGAAUGGGGAAACCCAGUGCAAUUCGUUGCACUAUCGUUAACUGAAUACAUAGGUUAACGAGGCGAACCGGGGGAACUGAAACAUCUAAGUACCCCGAGGAAAAGAAAUCAACCGAGAUUCCCCCAGUAGCGGCGAGCGAACGGGGAGCAGCCCAGAGUCUGAAUCAGCUUGUGUGUUAGUGGAACGGUCUGGAAAGUCCGACGGUACAGGGUGAUAGUCCCGUACACCAAAAUGCACAGGUUGUGAACUCGAAGAGUAGGGCGGGACACGUGGUAUCCUGUCUGAAUAUGGGGGGACCAUCCUCCAAGGCUAAAUACUCCUGACUGACCGAUAGUGAACCAGUACCGUGAGGGAAAGGCGAAAAGAACCCCGGCGAGGGGAGUGAAAAAGAACCUGAAACCGUGUACGUACAAGCAGUGGGAGCACCUUCGGGUGUGACUGCGUACCUUUUGUAUAAUGGGUCAGCGACUUAUAUUCUGUAGCAAGGUUAACCGUAUAGGGGAGCCGCAGGGAAACCGAGUCUUAACUGGGCGUUAAGUUGCAGGGUAUAGACCCGAAACCCGGUGAUCUAGCCAUGGGCAGGUUGAAGGUUGGGUAACACUAACUGGAGGACCGAACCGACUAAUGUUGAAAAAUUAGCGGAUGACUUGUGGCUGGGGGUGAAAGGCCAAUCAAACCGGGAGAUAGCUGGUUCUCCCCGAAAGCUAUUUAGGUAGCGCCUCGUGAACUCAUCUUCGGGGGUAGAGCACUGUUUCGGCUAGGGGGUCAUCCCGACUUACCAACCCGAUGCAAACUACGAAUACCGAAGAAUGUUAUCACGGGAGACACACGGCGGGUGCUAACGUCCGUCGUGAAGAGGGAAACAACCCAGACCGCCAGCUAAGGUCCCAAAGUCAUGGUUAAGUGGGAAACGAUGUGGGAAGGCACAGACAGCCAGGAUGUUGGCUUAGAAGCAGCCAUCAUUUAAAGAAAGCGUAAUAGCUCACUGGUCGAGUCGGCCUGCGCGGAAGAUGUAACGGGGCUAAACCAUGCACCGAAGCUGCGGCAGCGACACUAUGUGUUGUUGGGUAGGGGAGCGUUCUGUAAGCCUGCGAAGGUGACCUGUGAGGGUUGCUGGAGGUAUCAGAAGUGCGAAUGCUGACAUAAGUAACGAUAAAGCGGGUGAAAAGCCCGCUCGCCGGAAGACCAAGGGUUCCUGUCCAACGUUAAUCGGGGCAGGGUGAGUCGACCCCUAAGGCGAGGCCGAAAGGCGUAGUCGAUGGGAAACAGGUUAAUAUUCCUGUACUUGGUGUUACUGCGAAGGGGGGACGGAGAAGGCUAUGUUAGCCGGGCGACGGUUGUCCCGGUUUAAGCAUGUAGGCUGGUUAUCCAGGCAAAUCCGGAUAAUCAAGGCUGAGGUGUGAUGACGAGGCACUACGGUGCUGAAGUAACAAAUGCCCUGCUUCCAGGAAAAGCCUCUAAGCAUCAGGUAACAUCAAAUCGUACCCCAAACCGACACAGGUGGUCAGGUAGAGAAUACCAAGGCGCUUGAGAGAACUCGGGUGAAGGAACUAGGCAAAAUGGUGCCGUAACUUCGGGAGAAGGCACGCUGGUGUGUAGGUGAAGUCCCUGCGGAUGGAGCUGAGACCAGUCGAAGAUACCAGCUGGCUGCAACUGUUUAUUAAAAACACAGCACUGUGCAAACACGAAAGUGGACGUAUACGGUGUGACGCCUGCCCGGUGCCGGAAGGUUAAUUGAUGGGGUUAUCCGUAAGGAGAAGCUCUUGAUCGAAGCCCCGGUAAACGGCGGCCGUAACUAUAACGGUCCUAAGGUAGCGAAAUUCCUUGUCGGGUAAGUUCCGACCUGCACGAAUGGCGUAAUGAUGGCCAGGCUGUCUCCACCCGAGACUCAGUGAAAUUGAACUCGCUGUGAAGAUGCAGUGUACCCGCGGCAAGACGGAAAGACCCCGUGAACCUUUACUAUAGCUUGACACUGAACAUUGAGCCUUGAUGUGUAGGAUAGGUGGGAGGCUUUGAAGCGUGGACGCCAGUCUGCGUGGAGCCAACCUUGAAAUACCACCCUUUAAUGUUUGAUGUUCUAACGUUGGCCCCU
rnacentral:rRNA from 1 species